CCUACGGGAGGCAGCAGUGGGGAAUUUUGGACAAUGGGCGCAAGCCUGAUCCAGCCAUGCCGCGUGAGUGAAGAAGGCCUUCGGGUUGUAAAGCUCUUUCGGCAGGAACGAAAUGGUUCGUGCUAAUACCACGGACUGAUGACGGUACCUGAAGAAGAAGCACCGGCUAACUACGUGCCAGCAGCCGCGGUAAUACGUAGGGUGCAGGCGUUAAUCGGAAUUACUGGGCGUAAAGCGUGCGCAGGCGGUUUCUCAAGUCAGAUGUGAAAGCCCCGGGCUUAACCUGGGAACUGCGUUUGAAACUGGGAGACUUGAGUGUGGCAGAGGGGGGUGGAAUUCCACGUGUAGCAGUGAAAUGCGUAGAUAUGUGGAGGAACACCGAUGGCGAAGGCAGCCCCCUGGGCUAACACUGACGCUCAUGCACGAAAGCGUGGGGAGCAAACAGGAUUAGAUACCCUGGUAGUCCACGCCCUAAACUAUGUCAACUGGUUGUCGGGAGUAUUAACUCUCUUAGGUAACGAGCUAACGCGUGAGUUGACCGCGUGGGGAGGUACGGUCCGGCGAGUUAAACGUUACGUAAGAAGUUAGACGCGNGAGAGNGCGACGGACGACGACGAGGGAGGAGG
rnacentral:rRNA from 1 species